UACGUAGGGUGCAAGCGUUAAUCGGAAUUACUGGGCGUAAAGCGUGCGCAGGCGGUGAUGUAAGACCGUUGUGAAAUCCCCGGGCUCAACCUGGGAACUGCAUCUGUGACUGCAUCGCUGGAGUGCGGCAGAGGGGGAUGGAAUUCCAGGUGUAGCGGUGAAAUGCGUAGAUAUCUGGAGGAACACCGGUGGCGAAGGCGACGUCCUGGACCGGUAUUGACGCUGAGGCGCGAAAGCCAGGGGAGCAAACGGG
rnacentral:rRNA from 1 species